rnacentral:rRNA from 1 species
AGCUCCAAUAGCGUAUACUAACGUUGUUGCAGUUAAAAAGCUCGUAGUUGGAUUUCUGAUUCUUGUCGUUGGUUGGGCGGCCGCGUGUCGCUCGCCUCGCACAGGAGUCAACAUAUGUCACGAGCCAGUGUGAUCUAUUCAUUUAGGUCCGCUGGGUAAUGACUCGUUUACUUUGAGAAAAUUAGAGUGUUCAAAGCAGGCAUUUGCCUUGAAUAUGUUAGCAUGGAAUAAUAGCAUAGGACUUCGGUUCUAUUUGUUGGUUGUUCGAGAACUGGAGUAAUGAUUGAUAGGGACGGUUGGGGGCAUCUGUAUUCUCAAGCGAGAGGUGAAAUUCUUGGACCUUGGGAAGACAAACAGCUGCGAAAGCGUUUGCCUAGGACGUUC